CAUUUAGGAUCAUGGUUCUCUCUAGUUUCAGAAAUGGGGUUCAAUCUGAGCUUGCGGGACAUAUUAUGGAAAGUACUUUUCUUGCUCUAUGACUUGUGUCUAGUAUGCUGCCUGCAUAUGAUUUGGAAAUGAACAUUCUCAUGUAGCUUCCUUUCUCCAAUAAGGAUUUGACCCAUUCUUAAUGUUCUAAUAAGGUAAUUGACAGUAUUGAUGGUAGAAGUUGAUAGGAUGGUUCUUGUUUCUUAUGUUGAAAUGGUCAUAUGAUGAGGGCACUUGUAUUUUGAAAAGAAAUAUGAUGCCAGAUGAAUUCUCUUCUUGCAUAUCAAAGACUUUAGAUGCCUAAUUGAACAAAUCUUCAUUUUUACUAUUGUUUUAUGUUUCUAGAUACGAUUUAAUAUUAUUGAUGUAUAUCAAAAUAUCUACACUCUCUUAUAUCCGUCUUUGUCUUUUUGCUCAUGUCUAACUAUCCUUGCAAUUCAAGAACAUUUGAGAUAAAGGCUUUAUUGAGUUGAAUUCAAUUAGAUAGCAUAGGAUGAUAAGAGAAAGUAUUUUUCAGAACUUGGGCAAAUUAGGAAUGUGUCUUUCUUCUUUUAUUGGUUAUUCAUGCAUUCUAAGAACGAUUCAUAUUGCCUUUGGAAAAGGAAUUUAAGUUAUUUACCUUUUAAAAAAAAUCUCUAUUGGUGCUGAGAAAAAAAAAAUAUUUGUAUAGAGUCUCUUUUAAACUACAUUACCAGAACAUGUAAAACCAAUAUUUCAAGAUGUUAUCAAGAAAUGUAUCAAGGACUCUAAUUUUCCUUAAAGCUUAGGAGCCAGAAUUAAUUUCUUUAUUUUCUCAAAGUAUUUUAUGGGAGUAGAAUUGGGUACAUUCACUCUUUUUAUUUUUAUUUUUUAUUUUUUCACUUUGUUCUUAGUAUGAUUUCCAAAGCAUUCCUAAUUGUUUAGAUAGAACUACAGGCCCGCAUUAAGCAAGAAGGAUGUGCAAUCCUUAUCUCACCAGCUAGGCUUGGAGACCGUUGAUGUAAUGCUUUUAACUACAUUCCUUUUUACAAUAAUUAAGGAUUGGUUUUUGCUCGAAAAUCUUGAUUCUUCAUUUUGGUCUCCUUCAUAGUGAAUGUAAGCAUCACUAUUUCUACAUAUUUGUUAUCUUUGUAAAUAAUUUUUUGGAUUUAAUUGUAUAGCAUGCUCAUACAAUUCAAAGUUACAAAAAUCCUGGCUCACAAAUUACCAUCUCAUGUGGAUUCGGGAGAUGAAUGUUGAAAAUAUGAUAGGCUAAAGAAUGCAAAAGAACCAAUUUGAGGUAGAUUUGGAGAUCAAUCAUUGAAUGGUUCAGAUGAUUUCUUUUUCAAGUUUCAUUUGAUUUUGAGUAGAUUCAGAGGCUAUACUUAUAGUAAUAAAUACACAAUACCCCACUUUUCAUAGUGAUCAUGUUAGACUAAGAUUUUUUUAUCAACCUCUACAUGUGGCUUAUGCCAAGAAGUAAAAGCCAUUACUCAUGGCAGGUUCCAUUUGGGGACUUUUGUGAAGGAUGUAUGGACCAGAACUUAAGCAUUUUUUUACUGAAGAUGAUGAAUAGAGACUUGAAUUUGCCCUAUUUUGCCAAGCAACAACAUAAAAAAUUAUGCAAGGUUUGUUAACUCAUCAAUCUAUCCUAAACUAAAUACUCUGUGAUGGAAGUGGAUUGUGACAGUUUGCUCUUUGGGAUGGAGUUAAGGAUUUUUUUAUUCCUUCAUUCAUUUUUUUUAGCAUAUUUGUGAUUCAUUCUUAAGUUGUUCCCUUUCCUUUUUAUUUGAGUUUGCCAAUAUGUUCAUUCUUAAAUAUUUUGGCACGCCUUAAAACUACCUUUAAGGGAACAUGUUCAUACCCUAGAUUAUGGCUGUAAAAAAAAGGUCUAUCUUGGUAUAUGAUGGUAAAAAAUGAAAGGAUGUCCUUGUAGCCUUAAAAUGAUAUUUUAUUCACAACUAAUGUACCUUUAUUUUGAGUGUUGUGAGAAAAGGGACUUGUUUCAAUUUUAAAAUAGGUAGAAAAUGGAAGGAUGUCAAUUCUUACCUUGUUGGAUAAGUAAUGAGCCUUGUCUUCUUGCCUUUCUAUACCUUUUGGAUGCAUCAUGCAUGUUCAUUGUGUGUUUAGACCCAUGAGUUCUACCUUUUAGGUUCUAUUCUAUGGCUAAAGGAAAUGGCUUCUAUGAGUUCUACACUUUAGGUUAACUUCUAUGGCAAAGAAGGCAUUGUAGCAUUUCUUUAAGUGAUAGUGGGAUCUUUUAUCAGACGUGUUGAUUAUCAAUUGUGGGAUCUUACAUUAUUUAUUAGCCUAUUUUCCUCUAAGAAAAAGAAAAUAUUGGUGUGGAUACCAUUUGAUUAAGUUGUAGGUAUCGCAAAUACUACUAAUGCAUGAUCCCUUUAUGGAGAUCACUUAUUUUCUAUUUAAUAUAAUUUUAGUUAUAUCCAAAUAUCUAAUUAGUUAACUUUUCAAUAUAACUUUAGUUAUAUCUCAAUAUCUAAGUAGUUAAUUUUUUGUCAAUUAUUAACAUGUGUAGCUACUUUCCAGGAGUCAUGGUUUUGAAAUUGAGUUAAUUUUAAACCAAUAUUUCAUGUCUCGAAGUUAAAAUAUUCUUUUACAUGUUUUUAGGAAAUUUCAGUAUUAACUAUUGAGUAUAAAUUUUAUGCUCAGAUGCCUUGCAAGAAAGUUUAGCUAAAUUCAAGAAGCAACAAGAGAAGUGUCGAUUGACUUUCACCAGCAUUGCAGCCAAAGCAAGAUCCCCUGAGCCCAGAGUGCCUUGAGAUGCAUGUUGAAACAGUUGAGCCUAGUGAUUGUGCUUUGGUAGCUGAUGAUCUAAUUGCUACUGGUGGCAAUCUUUGUGCAGCCAUGAAUUUACUUGUUAAUCAUUUUGUAAAAGUUUGAAUGCUAGUUGUGUAUUCAAAUAUUUUGAUCCACUAGUUCUUUUGGAAAUACUGGUGCUUUUCUCUUUUAUUAUGAGAUGUAUCUUAGUUACUACUAUUAGUGGAAAUAAUAGACAAACACUUGAUUCCUACA